rnacentral:rRNA from 1 species
CAUAGCCGCGGGAAUACGUAGGCGGCAAGCGUUGUCCGGAAUUAUUGGGCGUAAAGCGCGCGCAGGUGGUUUAAUAAGUCUGAUGUGAAAGCCCUCGGCUCAACCGGGGAGGGUCAUUGGAAACUGGGAAACUUGAGCGCAGAAGAGGAGAGUGGAAUUCCACGUGUAGCGGUGAAAUGCGUAGAGAUGUGGAGGAACACCAGUGGCGAAGGCGACUCUCUGGUCUGUAACUGGCGCUGAGGAGCGAAAGCGUGGGGAGCGAACAGGAUUAGAGACCCCCGUAGUCCCUGUCUCUUAUACC